UACGAGGGGAGCAAGCGUUGUUCGGAUUUACUGGGCGUAAAGGGCGCGUAGGCGGUCGUGACAAGUCACUUGUGAAAUCUCCGGGCUUAACUCGGAACGGUCAAGUGAUACUGUCGGACUAGAGUACAGAAGGGGCAACUGGAAUUCUCGGUGUAGCGGUGAAAUGCGUAGAUAUCGAGAGGAACACCUGCGGCGAAGGCGGGUCGCUGGGCUGAUACUGACGCUGAUGCGCGAAAGCCAGGGGAGCGAACGGG
rnacentral:rRNA from 1 species